GGAGGGGUCGCAUAGAGGCCUAGUGCGCAACAUUGGAAAUGUUGUAUACCGCAAGGUAUCGGGAGUUCGAAUCUCCCCCCCUCCGCCA
rnacentral:tRNA from 1 species